GACGAACGCUGGCGGCGUGCUUAACACAUGCAAGUCGAACGGGAAGGUCCUGCCUUUGUGGGGUGCUCGAGUGGCGAACGGGUGAGCAACACGUGAGUAACCUGUCCCUGACUGUGGGAUAACUUCAGGAAACUGGGGCUAAUACCGGCUAGGAGCUCCUGCUGCAUGGUGGGGGUUGGUAAGUUUCGGCGGUUGGGGAUGGACUCGCGGCUUAUCAGCUUGUUGGGGGGGUAGUGGCUUACCAUGGCUUUGACCGGUAGCCGGCCUGAGAGGGUGACCGGCCACGUUGGACCUGAAAUGCGGCCCGGCCUCCAACGGGACGGGGCGGAGGAGAGUGGUGCACAAGAGGCUGGACCCUGGUGCAGCCACGCCGCGUGCGGGGUGACAGCCUUCGGGUUGUAAACCGAUUUCGCCUGUGACGAGGCGUGAGUGACGGUAAUGGGUAAAGAAGCACCGGCUAACUACGUG
rnacentral:rRNA from 1 species